rnacentral:rRNA from 1 species
CAAUAGCGUAUAUUAAAGUUGUUGCAGUUAAAAAGCUCGUAGUUGGAUUUCGGGGCAGCCUGGCUGGUCCGCCGCAAGGCGAGUACUGGUCAGCCGCCCUUCCUCUCGAAAGCCCCGACUGCUCUUUAUUGCAGUGGUCGGGUAGUUCGGGACGUUUACUUUGAAAAAAUUAGAGUGUUCAAGGCAGGCCUACGCCUGAAUACAUUAGCAUGGAAUAAUGGAAGAGGACCUCGGUCCUAUUUUGUUGGUUUCCAGGACCGAAGUAAUGAUUAAGAGGGACAGUUGGGGGCAUUCGUAUUUAAUUGUCAGAGGUGAAAUUCUCGGAUUUAUGAAAGACGAACAACUGCGAAAGCAUUUGCCAAGGAUUUUUUCAUUAA